CAUGAAUUUACCUCCAUGGAUACACAUACUGUAUUUAUAAUCCAAGUCAUUUCAUAGCGAAUUCUCUGUGUGAUCACAAAAAAUAGAAAUGCAAACACACAAAUUCACAUCUACAUGUAAUUCGUCUUACAACGACAAAACACGCCAUAAAUGUGCGAAUUUAUACAUUUUAAUCACAGCAGUUUUGUGUAAAGGCACACCCAAAAUGAGAGAAAUCUCAC